GGUAAUGCGAGUCGAUUCCCAAUUUUUCUGCGUUUUGAGUAUUUUAAAAUACAAUUUUGAUCCGUUUUUGGUGUCUUUGGUCAUGAUUUUUGUUGUUAACUAUAUUAUUCACAGUGCUACCUGCGAACAGGCAUACUCUGGCGCCCGCAAUUCUGCGUUUUCUGAUUAUGCGUGUCUCAGAAUGCUGCAAAUGCCAUUUCCGGGAUUCAAAUUUAAAAAUUUUCACGAGCACCCCCCUAAUAUUUCAUAAAGUGUCCGCCACUUGCUUAAAAGGUCUUAAAACUGUUUAUUCUACCAAUAAAUAAAGGGGUUUUUAUUGACUGGGAUUUCAAUAACUGGGACUGGGAUUUCUAAUAAAAAUCCAACUGGGACUGGGAUUUUGCCAAAAUUUCAGGUGGGAAAUGGGAUUGGGACCCCCCCCUUCAGGACCCUCUUUAUAAUGUCAAUAAAAAUAGAAUUGGAAUGUUUGUGCAAAAAAGAGCUGAAAAAACUAAAAUAAAGAAUGUUUUCUGCACAUUCCUAAACAACUUGAUGGUUUAAAGACAUUGUUGGAUUAAUUUUCUGUAUAUCUGAUGAAGGAAAAAGGGCUUUAAAGAUUCAUCAUGAGCGAAAUAAAAAUUUGAAAAGGAAUCGAGCUGAUCGAAUGUGGGCAUGUUCCAAAUACGAAAAUUUUGGUGUGAAAUGGGAUAUUUUACUUCAUAAUGCGAAGGUAGGAUAAGCAUUUUCAGAGUAAGAAUAUUCUGACAUUGCUUGGCUACUAUUUUUUAAUAAUCAUAUAGAGCCCAAAAUUGACCUUGCAAUGCAUUUAAAACAACUAAAAUUUGAAAAAAAACCCAACUACAAUUUGCUCGACAAUUUGAAAACUUAAAUAUAUAACCGUUUUUGUGUUAUAAGUUAUAACCAGCCGGCCUGCUCGGAAUCCAU